rnacentral:rRNA from 1 species
UACGAAGGUCCCGAGCGUUAUUCGGAAUCACUGGGCGUAAAGGGAGCGUAGGCGGCGCGGUAAGUCGGAUGUGAAAUCCCGGGGCUCAACCCCGGAACUGCAUCUGAUACUGCCGUGCUAGAGUAAUGGAGGGGUAGCUGGAAUUCUUGGUGUAGCAGUGAAAUGCGUGGAUAUCAAGAGGAACACUCGUGGCGAAAGCGAGCUACUGGACAUUUACUGACGCUGAGGCACGAAAGUGUGGGGAUCAAACAGG